rnacentral:rRNA from 1 species
CAGCAGCCGCGGUAAUACGUAGGGUGCAAGCGUUAAUCGGAAUUACUGGGCGUAAAGCGUGCGCAGGCGGUUAUGUAAGACAGAGGUGAAAUCCCCGGGCUCAACCUGGGAACUGCCUUUGUGACUGCAUAGCUGGAGUACGGCAGAGGGGGAUGGAAUUCCGCGUGUAGCAGUGAAAUGCGUAGAUAUGCGGAGGAACACCGAUGGCGAAGGCAAUCCCCUGGGCCUGUACUGACGCUCAUGCACGAAAGCGUGGGGAGCAAACAGGAUUAGA